rnacentral:rRNA from 1 species
CCUACGGGUGGCAGCAGUGAGGAAUAUUGGUCAAUGGACGAGAGUCUGAACCAGCCAAGUAGCGUGAAGGAUGACUGCCCUAUGGGUUGUAAACUUCUUUUAUAUGGGAAUAAAACGUUCCACGUGUGGGAUUUUGUAUGUACCAUAUGAAUAAGGAUCGGCUAACUCCGUGCCAGCAGCCGCGGUAAUACGGAGGAUCCGGGCGUUAUCCGGAUUUAUUGGGUUUAAAGGGAGCGUAGGUGGAUUGUUAAGUCAGUUGUGAAAGUUUGCGGCUCAACCGUAAAAUUGCAGUUGAAACUGGCAGUCUUGAGUACAGUAGAGGUGGGCGGAAUUCGUGGUGUAGCGGUGAAAUGCUUAGAUAUCACGAAGAACUCCGAUUGCGAAGGCAGUUCACUGGACUGCAACUGACACUGAGGCUCGAAAGUGUGGGUAUCAAACAGGAUUAGAUACCCCUGUAGUC